rnacentral:rRNA from 1 species
AGGAUGAACGCUAGCGGCAGGCUUAACACAUGCAAGUCGCGGGGCAGCGCAGGUAGCAAUACUGGGCGGCGACCGGCAAACGGGUGCGGAACACGUACGCAAUCUACCCUUGUCUGGGGCAUAGCCCGAAGAAAUUCGGAUUAACUCCCCAUAAGAUAUUAAUGAGGCAUCUUAUAGAUAUUAAAUCUGAGGAGGACAGGGAUGAGCGUGCGUCCCAUUAGCUAGUUGGUAGGGUAACGGCCUACCAAGGCGACGAUGGGUA